rnacentral:rRNA from 1 species
UUAUCGAGUUUUUGAAACGGGUUGUCGCUGGUCCCGUUCUUAACAGAGUCGGGACAUGUGCACACCUGGCUUCAUUCCACUCUUCAACCCCUGUGCACUUGUUGUAGGUUUCAGGUCGGACGCGGGGCUUUCGACUUCAUCGUCGAGAGCUUUCAAGGAAAGCCUGAGCCUAUGUUUUACUACACACACGCUUCAGUUAUAGAAUGUAAACAUCGCGUAUAACGCAUUUUAAAUACAACUUUCAGCAACGGAUCUCUUGGCUCUCGCAUCGAUGAAGAACGCAGCGAAAUGCGAUAAGUAAUGUGAAUUGCAGAAUUCAGUGAAUCAUCGAAUCUUUGAACGCACCUUGCGCUCCUUGGUAUUCCGAGGAGCAUGCCUGUUUGAGUGUCAUGGAAUUCUCAACCUUUGAAAGCUUUUAUUGGUCUUCAAAGGCUUGGACUUGGAGGUCGUGUCGGCUCUGCAAAGAAUAUCGACUCCUCUGAAACGUAUCAGUGCGAACCUUUACGGAUCGUCUUCGGUGUGAUAAACGUCUACGCCGUGGUCGUGAAGUAUGAUCGUGUCCGUGCUUCUAACCGUCUCCUUUGCGAGACAAAAACUGUGUUACUUACUAUAAGUAACAUAGGCAUUGACAAUCUGACCUCAAAUCAGGUAGGACUACCCGCUGAACUUAA